AUGUCUUUGUUUAAAGCCCAUGAUUGGUGGUCUACUGUUCUGGGAGAAAAAGAAGAAUUUGAUCAAGGCUGUUUGUGUUUGGCUGAUGUUGACAAUAGUGGAAAUGGCCAAGAUAAAAUAAUUGUGGGUAGCUUUAUGGGAUACCUAAGAAUCUUUAACCCCCAUCCUGUAAAAACAGGAGAUGGAUCUCAAGCUGAAGAUUUGCUUCUAGAAGUGCAUCUACGAGAUCCAAUACUUCAAGUGGAAGUAGGAAAAUUUCUUUCAGGUACUGAAAUGCUUUAUUUGGCUGUGUUGCAUUCUAGAAAACUUUGUGUCUACUCUGUCUCAGGAACUUUGGGUAAUGUGGAACAUGGGAACCAAUAUCAGAUCAAAUUGAUGUAUGAACAUAAUCUUCAGAGAACAGCCUGCAAUAUGACUUAUGGAUCAUUUGGUGGUGU